UUUUUUUUAUUUUUUAUUUUAUUUUUUUUUUUUGCAUUUAGCAGCCUCAUAAUUUUUUUUUCAUAAAUUGUUUCAUAAAAUUUAUAUUUACAACAUUGACCUUAUUCCUGUCACGCAAGCGUCAGUCAUAGUUUAGGUUAAGUUGAAAACACGGUGAAUGAUUCGUCAUAUUCCUUUAUUUUUUCUACUAUAGUAUUACGUAAUAUUCGGAAUUUAAGAUUUAAGAAAGGUAGGGUGAAUCAUUUGCGCAGUGAAUGGCUCAUCGUGUUCAACUUAAUCUCCAUCGCCAUCAACGCUCGCAUGACAUUUACAUGACACUUGCGUGGCGGGGAUAGAGCUAAUUUUGCAAAUAUAAACUUUAUAAGAUUAUUUGUAGAAAAAAAAUUUCUAAGAAGACUAAAUGCAAAAAAAGCCCCAAGCAAAAAAGUUAUUAUUAUUUUUUCUUGACCAAUUUGCAUAAAAAAUUCACAAAUUUGAGCUUUUACAAAAUUGGACCGCCUUUUUUUAUUUUACUUUUGAAUUUUUAAUAAAUUGACCAAAAUACCCAUAUUAUUUUUUCUCUCUCUUUUUUUUUUCUUGUUCAAUUUUUUUUCUCUCCGAAGAAGGCAACGGAGGCAAAGGCGGAGGAGGAAAUGGCCCGCCUUGCCUCUCACCCUCAUGCCCUCGCCCUCAUCUCUGUACCCCCGGCCUUCCUCGCCUCCAAUCCCGCCGAAACCGCGCUGCGACUCUUUUUAUUUUUCCUUUCUUCGACCCUCCUCCACCGUCUCCGACGACGACGUCUCUCUCGCCUUUUCCCGCCCUUCUCGCCCUCUCCCUCUCCCUCCUCCUCCUCCUUCACCUCCUCCUUCGCCUCCGACGCCGACGCCGACGCCGACGCCGACGCCGACGCCGACGCCGACGCCGACGCCGCGGAGGUCGCUACGGCACCGUAAUCUCGGAGCGAGGGGUCCUUUGCGGCGUCGUUGCUGGCGCCGUGUCCGUUGACGAAGAAGCGUGACAAAAAAAAAUGUAGAAGAAGGAAGAAGAAAAAAAUAAAGACAAAAAAUUAUAGAAGAAGAAAGAUAAAGAUGGAAUUGCACUGUUAAAAUAAAAUUACACUGUUUAAAAAAAAAAUUGCACUGUUUUAAAUAAAAAUUACACUCUUUGAGACAGAAAUUAAACUCUUUGGAAUCAGAUUUACAGCACAAAGUUGCACUCUUUAGGUGAAAUUUACACCAUUUCUUUUUUCCUUCUUCUUCCUCCAAUUUACACCAUUUUUUUUUCUCUUCCUCUUCUUCCUCCUCCUCCUUCCC
rnacentral:lncRNA from 1 species